UAAGGUGUGAAUGACGGUGAAUGACUGC
rnacentral:piRNA from 1 species